rnacentral:lncRNA from 1 species
CUCGGAUGAUCAGUCUUGGUGAGCAGACAGUUAACUCAAAUGAUGGGGUAGCCUCAGUUCCUAAGACGCGGGCAAGGAAGUAACGGCAAUGUCCAGCUUUCUCAUGGACCCUGCUGCUGAAGCUGGACCCCUCCACUGUCUUUCCCUAUGAAGACAGGGACCAGCACUUACCACCACCACCUACGAGCCACCAGCUGCUCCUUCCUGAGAAGAUUUCCCGGAGCAGCCCUUCUGGAGUGAACUUCCUCCAUUGUGAGUCAGGAAGCCACGUUAGAGCUGUCUUUUAUCAUUCCAUUUCUCUUUCUAGGGAAAUUCCCUGUAGAUCAGGGCAUUACUGUAAUUAAUUCAUUAGAGUAAAUUAACAGCACCACUUACAUUCUUAGCAUGCACCUGGUGCCAAUAGUAUUUUAAAUUUUGCAGUGAUAUUUCCCCAAGAUGUGCAGAACAACCAGGGCUCCAACACCUGUUUUCAACUGAAGUCCCUGACUUUGCUGGCCGGGAAGGAGACCAGGUUGCUGCCCGAGUGGCACGUGAAGAGCUGCUGUUGCUAAAGUUGCUGUUUAUUCCGUCCCUCCGUCUGAGCACAACAUCGCGGAAACUGCUAUCUGAUGUCAGAUAGAUGAUUUUCUUCCCUGAAAAAUUCGUUCUUUUUUCUGACUCGCCUCUCUCUCAAUUAAAGUAGUUUGAAAAGGAGGAAUAGAUGAAAUAAGAUGUCCUGUAGUAGAUGAAUUUUGUUUACUACUGUAAGGAAUGGUGCAGGAUGGACAAAAUUGCCACCAAAAUACUGCUCAG